CCUACGGGAGGCAGCAGUGAGGAAUUUUCCGCAAUGGGCGAAAGCCUGACGGAGCAAUACCGCGUGAGGGAUGAAGGAUUUUGGUCUGUAAACCUCUUUUCUCAAGAAAGAAGUUCUGACGGUACUUGAGGAAUAAGCAUCGGCUAACUCCGUGCCAGCAGCCGCGGUAAUACGGGGGAUGCGAGCGUUAUCCGGAAUGAUUGGGCGUAAAGCGCCUGUAGGUUGUUUAUUAAGUCCGUUGUUAAAGCCUAGGGCUUAACCCUAGAAAAGCAAUGGAAACUAGUAGACUAGAGUAUGGCAGGGGUAGAGGGAAUUUCUAGUGUAGCGGUGAAAUGCGUAGAUAUUAGAAAGAACACCGGUGGCGAAAGCGCUCUACUGGACCAUUACUGACACUCAGAGGCGAAAGCUAGGGUAGCAAAAGGGAUUAGAUACCCCUGUAGUCCUAGCCGUAAACGAUGGAUACUAGAUGUUGUGCAUUAUGUACAGUAUCGUAGCUAACGCGUUAAGUAUCCCGCCUGGGGAGUACGCUCGCAAGGGUGAAACUUAAAUGAAUUGACGG
rnacentral:rRNA from 1 species